AUUGGAGGAAAGUAGGGGAUCGUAAGACCUUUCGCUUUCGGAGUGGCCGAUAUCAGAUUAGCUAGUUGGUGGGGUAAAGGCCUACCAAGGCGACGAUCUGUAGCGGGUCUGAGAGGAUGAUCCGCCACACUGGGACUGAGACACGGCCCAGACUCCUACGGGAGGCAGCAGUGGGGAAUUUUGGACAAUGGGGGCAACCCUGAUCCAGCCAUGCCGCGUGAGUGAAGAAGGCCUUCGGGUUGUAAAGCUCUUUCAGCCGGAAAGAAAUCGCACCGAUUAAUACUCGGUGUGGAUGACGGUACCGGAAGAAGAAGCACCGGCUAACUACGUGCCAGCAGCCGCGGUAAUACGUAGGGUGCGAGCGUUAAUCGGAAUUACUGGGCGUAAAGCGUGCGCAGGCGGUUUCCGCAAGUCAGAUGUGAAAUCCCCGGGCUUAACCUGGGAACU
rnacentral:rRNA from 1 species